ACGGGAGGCAGCAGUGGGGAAUAUUGGACAAUGGGGGAAACCCUGAUCCAGCGACGCCGCGUGAGUGAAGAAGUAUUUCGGUAUGUAAAACUCUAUCAGCAAGAAAGAAAAUGACGGUACUUGACUAAGAAGCCCCGGCUAACUACGUGCCAGCAGCCGCGGUAAUACGUAGGGGGCAAGCGUUAUCCGGAUUUACUGGGUGUAAAGGGAGCGUAGACGGCGAUGCAAGUCUGAAGUGAAAGCCCGGGGCUCAACCCCGGAACUGCUUUGGAAACUGUAUAGCUAGAGUGCAGGAGAGGUAUGUGGAAUUCCUAGUGUAGCGGUGAAAUGCGUAGAUAUUAGGAGGAACACCAGUGGCGAAGGCGACAUACUGGACUGUAACUGACGUUGAGGCUCGAAGGCGUGGGGAGCAAACAGGAUUAGAUACCCUGGUA
rnacentral:rRNA from 1 species